AACACAUGCAAGUCGAACGGAAACAGGACGCUGUGAUCUCUUCGGAGUGAACUUGUCGCUGUCGAGUGGCGGACGGGUGAGUAAUGCAUAGGAAUUUGCCUCGAAGUGGGGGAUAGCCCGGAGAAAUCCGGAUUAAUACCGCAUGUGCUCUACGGAGCAAAGUGGACCUCUGAUUUAAGUUCACGCUUUGAGAUAAGCCUAUGUCGGAUUAGCUUGUUGGUAGGGUAAAAGCCUACCAAGGCGACGAUCCGUAGCUGGUUUGAGAGGAUGAUCAGCCACACUGGGACUGAGACACGGCCCAGACUCCUACGGGAGGCAGCAGUGGGGAAUAUUGGACAAUGGGCGCAAGCCUGAUCCAGCAAUGCCGCGUGUGUGAAGAAGGCCUGCGGGUUGUAAAGCACUUUUAUCGGGAAAGAAAAACACAGGGUUAAUACCCCUGUGCCUUGACGGUACCCGAAGAAUAAGCACCGGCUAACUCAGUGCCAGCAGCCGCGGUAAUACUGAGGGUGCAAGCGUUAAUCGGAAUUACUGGGCGUAAAGCGAGUGUAGGCGGCUUCGUAAGUCGGAUGUGAAAGCCCCGGGCUUAACCUGGGAAUUGCAUUCGAUACUGCGCGGCUAGAGUU
rnacentral:rRNA from 1 species